CUUUCUUUGCUGGCGACCGGCGCACGGGUGAGUAACACGUAUCCAACCUGCCCUUUACUCGGGGAUAGCCUUUCGAAAGAAAGAUUAAUACCCGAUAGCAUAAUGAUUCCGCAUGGUUUCAUUAUUAAAGGAUUCCGGUAAAGGAUGGGGAUGCGUUCCAUUAGGUUGUUGGCGGGGUAACGGCCCACCAAGACUACGAUGGAUAGGGGUUCUGAGAGGAAGGUCCCCCACAUUGGAACUGAGACACGGUCCAA
rnacentral:rRNA from 1 species